CCGUGCUAGCCGGGGAGGUAGCGGCGCCCUGUACCUGCAACCCGCUGUAGCAGGGGUGAUGCUCUAGCCGAGGCAGUAUUCUGUAGGGUCUGCCCCUAGCAAGUGAUGUUGAUGAUUAGGUCUUACGCAAUAGGCACUCGUGAACCGUGUCAGGUCCGGGAGGAAGCAGCACUAAGCGAGCCCGCUCUAUGUGCCGUGAGAGUGCCUAGUCGGAGUUAACUACUAGGGUAACGCUUAUGGGCUGCUGUCGAAGCUGAGUGCACGG
rnacentral:SRP_RNA from 1 species